rnacentral:rRNA from 1 species
UUCGUAGGGUACAAGCGUUAAUCGGAAUUACUGGGCGUAAAGCGUGCGCAGGCGGUUAUAUAAGACCGAUGUGAAAUCCCCGGGCUCAACCUGGGAACUGCAUUUGUGACUGUAUAGCUAGAGUACGGUAGAGGGGGAUGGAAUUCCGCGUGUAGCAGUGAAAUGCGUAGAUAUGCGGAGGAACACCGAUGGCGAAGGCAAUCCCCUGGACCUGUACUGACGCUCAUGCACGAGAGCGUGGGGAGCAAACAGG